rnacentral:tRNA from 1 species
GGUGGAAUUGGCAGACGCGCAGGCUUCAGGUGCCUGUGGUAGCAAUACCGUGUGGGUUCAAGUCCCAUC